GGGACAAUGCUCAUCUCUUCAAAAGCUUCACAUUUCCAGUUGUGAAAAAUUAAGCAAGAUUGGAGAUGGAUUAUCUACCUCCACUUGUCUCAAAAAAUUACAUCUAGGCAAUUGUCCUGAUUUAAGUUCGAUCCCAAAUUUGGAAGGAUUUUCCUCUCUUCAAGAUCUGUCAGUUUGUGGGUGCCUCAAAUUGGAAGUUCUUCCAAUAACUGGAGGAUGUUCAUCUCUUGAAGAGCUGGAGAUUACGAGGUGUCCCUUGUUGAAAAGUGUUCCACUAACGGGACAAUGCUCAUCUCUUCAAAAGCUUCACAUUUGGGAUUGUGAAAAAUUAAGCAAGAUUGGAGAUGGAUUAUCUACCUCCACUUGUCUCAAAAAAUUACAUCUAGGCAAUUGUCCUGAUUUAAGUUCGAUCCCAAAUUUGGAAGGAUUUUCCUCUCUUCAAGAUCUGUCAGUUUGGGGGUGCCUCAAAUUGGAAGUUCUUCCAAUAACGGGACAAUGUUAUUCUCUUGAAAAGCUUCGCAUUUGCGAUUGUGAAAAAUUAAGCAAGAUUGGAGAUGGAUUAUCUACCUCCACUUGUCUCAAAAAAUUAAAUCUAAUCAUUUGUCCUGAUUUAAGUUCGAUCCCAAAUUUGGAAGGAUUUUCCUCUCUUCAAUAUCUGUCAGUUCGAUGUUGCAAGAAAUUGGAAGUUCUUCCAAUAACCGGAGGAUGUUCAUCUCUUGAAAAGCUUCGCAUUUCCAGUUGUGAAAAAUUAAGCAAGAUUGGAGAUGGAUUAUCUACCUCCACUUGUCUCAAAAAAUUAGAUCUAGUAGAUUGUCCUGAUUUAAGUUCGAUCCCAAAUUUGGAAGGAUUUUCCUCUCUUCAAGAUCUGUCAGUUUGGAGGUGCCUCAAAUUGGAAGUUCUUCCAAUAACCGGAGGAUGUUCAUCUCUUGAAGAGCUUUCCAUUUACAGUUGUGAAAAAUUAAGCAAGAUUGGAGAUGGAUUAUCUACCUCCACUUGUCUCAAAAAAUUAAAUCUAGCAGAUUGUCCUGAUUUAAGUUCGAUCCCAAAUUUGGAAGGAUUUUCCUCUCUUCAAUAUCUGUCAGUUCGAAGGUGCGACAAAUUGGAAGUUCUUCCAAUAACAGCACCACUGUCAUCGCUUAAAAAAAUGUUGAUAGGUGAUUGCCCUAAUUUGAGGCCCAUUCCAAGUUUAGAUGGACUCUCUUCUCUCACAGAAUUAGAAAUUGGGAAAGUAGGCGAAGGAUGGAGUCGUCUGCUACCAAAUAUGUUGCAAUCCAACGUUUCCCUUUGCAGUCUAACAAUAUUAAAUAUUCCUGAUCUGAUAUGGAUUCAAGAUGACAGCCUUGGUAGGCUUAACUGCUUGAGAGAAUUAGCUAUCGGUGGUUUCUCAGAAAAGCUACAAGAAUUCCCGGGGUCCAGUUCCAUUCGAUAUCUGAGUGCCUCCCUUCUAGUUCUAAAACUGACUGGUUGGGAAAAGCUAAAGAGUCUUCCUCACCAACUUCAGUUCUUGACUGCCCUCGAAGAAUUGACGAUAGAAGGGUUUCAAGGAGUAGAAGCCUUUCCAGAGUGGUUGGGAAAUCUCUCUUCUCUGAAGCGUCUAUAUUUGAGUGGUUUUGGAAAGCUAAAGAGUCUUCCUCACCAACUUCAUCUCCCCAGUACCCUUGAAGAGUUGACUAUUGACAAUUUUCAUGAAAUAGAAGCCUUGCCAGACUCGUUCAGAAAUCUCUCUUCUCUAGGGUGUCUGAGUAUCCAGUUCUGUGAUAAGCUCAUGUACUUGCCUUCUGUAGAUGUUAUGCGAAGCCUCUCCAAAUUAAUAAGAAUGAACAUUAAAGGGUGUCCUCUAUUAGAGACAAGAUGUGAGCGGGAGAGUGGCCCUGAAUGGUCCAAGAUUUCCCACAUUCCACAUGUAUAUAUUAAUCAUCGGAGGUAAGUUCAGUUACUUGAACCACAACUCUGCAUCUUUUGGCUUUUGAUAUAAAAUAUACUAAUCCUCUCUUGAUACUUUUUAUAGUUAUACCGUUUGUUCUUCUCAUCCUAAGUUACUUGAUUUUGUCUCAUAUAAAUCCUUCUUUUAAAAUUUUUUUGGCUUUUGUGGCAUAAUGUUGCAGGACUAAUUGGGGCAUCAAAUCUGUUAGAAAAUGGACUGCAAAGCAACAAACAAGUUGAUAUGCAACUUGGUUUCAUAAUGAUAGCUAUAAUGCUUUCAUCUUUUGCUUUCAUAAUGAUAGCCAAAUUUGGUGGAGUAGGUAGUAUUUGGUGAUGUAUUUGACUAUAAAUGUAUUGUUUUUCUAGUUGAAUGAAUGAGCUGAAUGAGCUAUCAGCCAUUAGCUCCCUUGCAGCACGUUUGUGAGCAAGUAAAUUGUUUUUGUUUCUUCCUCCUUUGUUCUUUGUCUUGUUUUCUUUCUUUUUGCUGCUGCCAAUGUAGGAUCAACAGUGCAAGCACUUUCGAAUCAAAGGCAUCACCCAGGAAGACUAGAAGAUGAAGAAUGCUGGUCCGUAAUUGAACAACUAGCAUUGACACCCUUUCCAAUGUCUCACGAAUUAGAGCUUAUUGGAAAGGAGAUUGCUAUGCAGUGUCGAGGUCUGCCAUUGUUAGCUAAAGUUAUUGGAGGGACAAUGCGCAAAGAAAGGAGCCACGGCACAUGGUUGGAAAUUCAAGAAAGUGGAGUAUGGGGUUCAGCGGACAGUGAGUCAGUGGAAAGUGUGUUAAAAUUAAGUUUUGAUCGCUUGCCUUCUCCAUCUUUGAAGAAGUGUUUUGCGUACUGUGCCAUGUUUCCGAAAGAUUAUUGCUUUGAAACAGAGGAAUUGAAGCAACUGUGGAUGGCUGAAGGAUUUCUUGGCAGCCCUAUGGCAAUGGUGGAUAUUGGUGACAAAUACUUGAAUGAGUUGUUAUCAAAUUCCUUAUUUCAAGAUGUCGAGAAGGACAAAUUCGGGAAUAUUCUCACAUUCAAGAUGCACGACUCGGUGCAUGAUCUAUCUUUGUCUGUGUCAAAGUUUGAUACUUUGUUUUUUCAAGAGAAAUCCAGUCUCACCUCAAAAGAGUGUUCUCAUAUUCGUCAUCUCAAUGUUGGGUGCGAUGGGGAAUCAUUACCAGAAAUUUUAACAGCGGUUGCUCCGAAAUUAUACUCGUUGUUUUCAGAGAUUGAUGUGUUCAAGAAACUAUCAAAAAGCUUCACAAGAUUAAGAGUCCUAAAGUUUGUUGGCGCUGCUAAUAUUUGUGAGUUGCCAGAUUCCCUUGGAGAAUUGAAGCACUUGAGGUAUUUGGAUGUCUCAAGGACUUCUAUCAAAGCACUGCUGAAGUCCGCAACCAAACUUUACAAUCUGCAAACAUUGAGGCUCUUGGGUUUACUGAGACUCACACUUCCAGAUGGAUUGGAAAUUUUGACAAGCUUGAAGCACUUGUAUUUUGAUAAAAAAGAACAUCAACUAGUUAAUAUUGGAAACCUAACUUGUCUUCAAACAUUACCCAUAUUUUUUGUGGGAUCAGAAAGGGGGCAUUCGAUUAAGGAGUUAGGAUCCCUAGACGAACUGCGUGGAGAAUUGAAGAUAUGCGAUCUUGAGGGUGUUAGAGACGAACAAGAGGCUAAAGGAGCAAAUCUGCACCGUAAAGAAAAAUUAUUCAAGGUGAUAUUUGAUUUUGGACGGUGUGAUCAAAAAUUAUUCAAGGUGAUAUUUGAUUUUGGACGGUGUGAUAGUGGGAGUAGUGGUUAUAACAGUGAGGAAGUGAUGGAAGGUCUCCAACCACACUCAAAGUUGCAAAGCUUAACUGUUUCGCUUUACAGAGGUGAAAGCUUUCCCUCGUGGAUGUUAAGACCUGUUGGUGAUUCUAAUACUGAUUUGUUUUUGCUUAACAAUUUGAUGGAGCUGAAGUUUUUCUAUUGCAAGAACUGUGAAAGUCUUCCACCUCUGGGCCAAUUGCACAAUCUCCAGUAUCUUGAGUUGAUAAUGCUGACGAAAGUGAAACGCAUGGAUAAUGAAUUUUAUUGCAACGAAAGUGUUGAUGGUAUGAAUAAGGUGAUCAAGGUGUUUCCUGCAUUGAAAAAAUUCACCUUAUGGUUUAUGGACAGUCUAGAAGAAUGGACAGGAAUGGCGGAAACAAAGAUGAUCAUGUUUCCUUGCUUGGAGCGGCUGGAGAUUACGACGUGUCCCUUGUUGAAAAGUGUUCCACUAACGGGACAAUGUUCAUCUCUUGAAAAGCUUCGCAUUUGCGAUUGUGAAAAAUUAAGCAAGAUUGGAGAUGGAUUAUCUACCUCCACUUGUCUCAAAGAAUUAGAUCUAGCAGAUUGUCCUGUUUUAAGUUCGAUCCCAAAUUUGGAAGGAUUUUCCUCUCUUCAAUAUCUGUCAGUUCGAUGUUGCAAGAAAUUGGAAGUUCUUCCAAUAACUGGAGGAUGUUCAUCUCUUGAAAAGCUUCGCAUUUGCGAUUGUGAAAAAUUAAGCAAGAUUGGAGAUGGAUUAUCUACCUCCACUUGUCUCAAAGAAUUAGAUCUAGCAGAUUGUCCUGAUUUAAGUUCGAUCCCAAAUUUGGAAGGAUUUUCCUCUCUUCAAUAUCUGUCAGUUCGAUGUUGCAAGAAAUUGGAAGUUCUUCCAAUAACCGGAGGAUGUUCAUCUCUUGAAAAGCUUCGCAUUUACGAUUGUGAAAAAUUAAGCAAGAUUGGAGAUGUAUUAUCUACCUCCACUUGUCUCAAAGAAUUAGAUCUAGUCAAUUGUCCUGAUUUAAGUUCGAUCCCAAAUUUGGAAGGAUUUUCCUCUCUUCAAGAUCUGUCAGUUUGGAGGUGCCUCAAAUUGGAAGUUCUUCCAAUAACCGGAGGAUGUUCAUCUCUUGAAGAGCUUUCCAUUUACAGUUAGUGAAAAAUUAAGCAAGAUUGGAGAUGGAUUAUCUACCUCCACUUGUCUCAAAGAAUUAGAUCUAGCAGAUUGUCCUGAUUUAAGUUCGAUCCCAAAUUUGGAAGGAUUUUCCUCUCUUCAAUAUCUGUCAGUUCCAUGUUGCAAGAAAUUGGAAGUUCUUCCAAUAACCGGAGGAUGUUCAUCUCUUGAAAAGCUUCGCAUUUGCGAUUGUGAAAAAUUAAGCAAGAUUGGAGAUGGAUUAUCUACCUCCACUUGUCUCGAAGAAUUACAUCUAGC
rnacentral:lncRNA from 1 species